rnacentral:tRNA from 1 species
GGGCGAGUGGUGGAAUUGGUAGACACGCAAGGUUGAGGGCCUUGUCCUGGUUUUUUCGGGGUGGAGGUUCAAAUCCUCUUUCGCCCACCA